rnacentral:rRNA from 1 species
GAUGAACGCUGACAGAAUGCUUAACACAUGCAAGUCGACUUGUGGGGGACGGGCGAGUAAGGCGUAAAGAAGUUGCUGCACGGCAAGGGGCAAUAUUUAGAAAAAAAUGUUACUAACUGAUCCUGUGAGAGAGCUUUGCGUCCCAUUAGCUAGUUGGUGAGGUAACAGCUCACCAAGGCGAUGAUGCGUAGCCGGCCUGGGAGGGUGAACGGGCACAAGGUGACUGGGGCACCGCCCUUACGCCAAAGGGCGGCAGCGGUGGAGACUAUUGGACACUGGACCGAUGUCUGAUGCAGCAAUUCUGUGUGCAAGAUGAAGCUUUCGGGAUGUAAAGUGCGUUCAGAUGGGAAGCGGUACCAACAGAAGAAGUAACGGCUAACUACGUGCCAGCAGCCGCGGUAAUUC